rnacentral:ncRNA from 1 species
CCGCGCCCACCUGAGGAAACAAAAAGUCUUUGGGUUCCGGGGGGAGUAUGGUACAAAGGCUGAAACUUAAAGGAAUUGACGGAAGGGCACCACCAGGCGUGGAGCCUGCGGCUUAAUUUGACUCAACACGGGGAAACUUACCAGGUCCAGACAUAGCAAGGAUUGACAGACUGAGAGCUCUUUCUUGAUUCUAUGGGUGGUGG